CAGAUUUCCCCCUCUGGUCUGUUUGAUAUGAUAUUAGCUUCAAGUUUGUAAUGGUUAAACAGGUUAUUAUGAGAGCUUAGUGCAUCUCGUGCAAAGUCAAUGAAGUUGAAGGAUUGGUACAUGAUUUCUUCUGGUCAGCCUGUUAACGAGUACAUUGGCUCAGCUGUUAGACACGUCCUUCUUAGACAGCUCAUUGAGUAAUAGGGCCUGCCAUGGUGUUAUGUGUUCGUCAUGGAAAGUGGUGCCAAGGGUUGCGAGGUUAUUCUGAGAGCUUGGGAAAGCUCGUGCUAAGUCAAUAAAGUUCAAGGAUGGAUACAUGAUUUCUUCUUUUCUGGCUGUUAACGAGUACAUUGACUCAGCUGUUAGAGACGGCCUUCUUAGACAGGGUGUUCUUGGUAUCCACCUGAUGGGAAGAAUGGUCCAAUGGCUCCAUUACCUGAUGUUACUAUCCACCAAACCUAAGAAUGAAGAGGGUUGAGCCUUCAAUGAUGGCUCCUACAGAAAUUGAAAUGCCACAUCAACUAGGAUCCCCCACCAAAUGAUAUUGGCUUAAAAUGGAUCUGGUUUCUAGUUUGUAGUCAUAUUUGAGAUCUGUACUUUCUCAUAAUAGGAUUUUGAAUGCUAAUACUUUUCGAUUUUAUGCGGGUUUCUCUUUUGUAAGUACUGGUCUAAAGAAAAUAUCUUUGUGGUGUUAUUUAGCCUUGUAGUUUUUUUAGUUUUUUCUUUUUUUUUCUGUUUGUUGCAAGUUUGUCUCUUGAAUUCUGGCUGUGUUGAAUUUAUCAUUCCUUUCAGCCGUUGGAAGUUGUUUGUUAAAACUUGGAGAAUCCAUCAAUCUCCUCUUCCAAUUGUCCUGUUGCACUAAAGGUAUGCUCUACUGUAGUAACUAGUAAUAUUAUGCUCGGUCUGUUCCAUGUACAUACAUGUUUUCUGU